rnacentral:rRNA from 1 species
CCUACGGGAGGCAGCAGUAAGGAAUAUUGGUCAAUGGGCGCAAGCCUGAACCAGCCAUGCCGCGUGCAGGAAGACGGCCCUAUGGGUUGUAAACUGCUUUUGAACAAGAGAAAACCUCGGUACGUGUACCGAGCUGAUAGUAUUGUUAGAAUAAGCAUCGGCUAACUUCGUGCCAGCAGCCGCGGUAAGACGAAGGAUGCAAGCGUUAUCCGGAUUCAUUGGGUUUAAAGGGUGCGUAGGCGGCCUGAUAAGUCAGUGGUGAAAUCUCUCAGCUUAACUGAGAAACUGCCAUUGAUACUGUCGGGCUUGAGUACAGAUGAUGUGGGCGGAAUAUGACAUGUAGUGGUGAAAUACUUAGAUAUGUCAUAGAACACCGAUUGCGAAGGCAGCUCACAAAACUGUAACUGACGCUGAGCACGAAGUAGNGGGAGUACAACAGAUAGUAUACCUACGUAGUCGCGACCGUAACGAACGUAGUAUUACUUACGUUGUUGGUCG